rnacentral:lncRNA from 10 species
GCAAUUGUGUCAUGCGUGAGGUCUGAUUGCCUGAGUCCAGGGAUGAGGUCUGAGGUUUGCAGUUCUGUGGAGUGAGGGCCCUGCCUGUCCCUGACCCUAAAGGAGUCCCACAGGCAGGAUGUGGGCCUCCCGUGAGCACCUCCAGUGCUCUGGUUCUGUGUAUCGUCAGAAUCCAGGGUUUGGAGGGGUGGUCACGGGAGCUGCGGCAUUUGAGGGGGGCGCCAGCUCCCAUGGAGGUGACAUUCUGGGCUGGUCCUGCUGUGGCAGACCAUAGCUUGGGGUCCCAGCCCCACCCUCCCGCCCCCAAGCACGUGUCCUACUGACCUCACAUGCAUGUCUUGUGACCUCUCGCGGCCCUUUCCAAUACUGUCGCCACUGCACGUGAUAGAGACGUGGCUGAGACCAUGAAAGGGCAGCGAUGGUGAUAGAGUCCCAUGCUCUGAUUUGAUUGAUUGAGACUUUAUUCCCGCUUCUUCAAGACAUGUCUGUGGAAUGGGGUUGCCUGCACUUGCGUUAGUCUGGAGCUAACCGUCGGUGCUGGGGAUGCCGGGGCAGGGCCCCAAGUUCCACUGUGGACGUGCGUGGGGCUUACCUAUGGGCAGCCCCUCCUUAGGAGCAGCACCCAGCAGAGCAGCUUGUGAUUUCAGCCGGGAGGAGACCGUGAGGGAAGAGAUCCCUUAGGUGGUGUCUGCAGCUGACUAGGUCAGCGUUUCCACUCUGGCUGUUAAUGGGACGUUGGCACAGAAAAGUAUUUUGUGGGCAACUUAGUUUAGGGAAGGAUGUGGCGGAGCCUCCCUGUGGAAACGUGUGUCUCUGAUCUCCACGUGGGGUGUGGAGGCAGUAGCCUUUUCAGACCUGGUGGAUCAUUGAAUCCCUCCUGAGGGGGUGGGUUCUGAGGCCUGGCCUUGAUCCCUGAGGCCCUUUGGAAAGUGCUGGAAAAGGUUUUGCCUGGCAUUCUGCAGAAGCAUUGCUGUAUCUUACCAGACAGGAAUACAGGUCUGCUGUGUGCCAAAAUAUUUUACCAUGCCCUAAAAGUGAGAUGUUGGAAGUGGACAAGGAGGAAAUAUUUAUGAAUAUUUGAGUCUGUUAUUCUUUAUGUUAAGCAUUUUGGCUUCUGUUGUACUCCUAAAUCACUACUGAGAGCAGAGAAAGAGCUCUUUGUAGAAAUGAGAUGUGUUCCUGUGUGCUGCCUGUGACGCAUCCCGUUGUCACCGGAGUGCCGUGGCCCUAAGGAAUGACAGCAUUAAGGCAUGGACGUUAAAGAUGGACAAAAGAAUUGUUCACGGUGUUGUAUUUUAAAAUGACUAUGUGUAUGACAAUUAAACUAUUGUGUCUUCGUUUACUCCAUGUGUUCUGCCUGACAGCUGGG